GGGGGGGGGGGGCGGCGGGGUUGACGCAGGCGAGUCGAGCGGGGAGGCCGUGCGUGUGUGGGGUGCUCGAGUGGCGGACGGGUGCGUCACACGUGUGUACCCUGCCCUUGCCUUUGGGCUAACUUCAGGACACUGGGGCUAAUACCGGGUAGGAGCUCCUGCUGCAUGGUGGGGGUUGUAUGGUUUAGGCUGUUGGGGCUGGGAUUGGGGGUUAUCAGCUCGUUGGUGGUGUGUGGGCUUCUCAAGGCUGUGACGGGUUGCCGGCCUGAGAGGGUGACCGGCCACAUUGGGACUGAGAUACGGCCCAGACUCCUACGGGAGGCAGCAGGGGGGAAUAGUGCACAAUGGGCGGAAGCCUGAUGCAGCAACGCCGCGUGCGGGAUGACGGCCUUCGGGUUGUAAACCGCUUUCGCCUGUGACGAAGCGUGAGUGGCGGUAAUGGGUAAAGAAGCAACGGCUAACUACGUG
rnacentral:rRNA from 1 species